UUUGACAACCUUUUUUCGUUCUCUCUCAUGAAGGAUAUGUUUUGAAAAUUAGUCUUACAAAAUACAAUUCCAAACCAACUCAUGCAGUUAUCGUCUUUUCACAGUAUUGAGGAGUCAUCCUUUUUGCUAGCCAGAGUGUUAAUUGGCAAAAGUGAAAAAUUCAUUUUCUUUAAUUUUUUAAAUUAUUAACAAGUAGAACCAUGCCAACCAGUUCUGAUGAUGUACCAGAAUGGCUCAAGUAUCAUACUUAUACUAUUUCUACUCUCUGGGCAUCCAUUCAAUAUUUAAUUUAUGUUUGGAAAUGCAAGAAAAAGGCAUGCAUUCCUGAAAAGUCAAUGAUUGGUUGCACCUCUUAAAGAUAACUUUCUGUUAUGAGAAAAGAUGAGAUUCUUGGACUCCUGCAUAGCACCACCAGAAAGGAAAAUCCCAUCAUGUUGCAAAAUAAAAGUCUUGGACCAAUUUUAAUUUAAGAUAUAUAUAUUAUACUGUAAGCUGUAUACAUAUUUAUGUAUAUCCUGUCAUUCAGCCAACAGGUUUGGAUUUAGUAUUUCUUUAAAUCUGUUGGAUAUUGUACUUGAAAACUAUUAAUCUGAGCCCCAUUAAAACAAGAGGGAGUGCAGUGGAUGAGUGGUAAGGGAAAUUUUACUUUUUUAAAAUUAAAAUAAAAAUCUAACAAAAGUAAACAUAUAAAAUAUGGUGCAUUCUCCUUAAAACUAAAACCGGGUGCAAAGGUUUAAAAUGUUGGCAAAAAAAAAAAAGCAACAUCAAUUAAAUAUUCUUAAUUCCCUUUGCAAAACUUACUGAGAAGAACAUGCAUGUUGUUCCCUCAUAAGUUUCUUGACAGAGGAAAUCUUGUUUAUAUUAGAUUUGAAGUAAGCAAAUUAAGAAAAAAAUUAUAAUCAUUAUUUCAAAUGGUUGUAUCUAAACCUUAUGAAUUAUUUUUCAGUUAUAAGUAUAUUGAAAUGAAUGGAUAAU